rnacentral:rRNA from 1 species
CACUAUGCCUAGCCCUAAACAUUGGUAUAAUCCCACAUAUUAUACCCGCCUGGGUACUACGAGCACCAGCUUAAAACCCAAAGGACUUGGCGGUGCUUUAGACCCCCCUAGAGGAGCCUGUUCUAGAACCGAUAACCCCCGUUCAACCUCACCCUUUCUUGUCUAUUCCGCCUAUAUACCGCCGUCGUCAGCUUACCCUGUGAAGGCCUAAUAGUAAGCACAAAUGGUACAACCCAAAACGUCAGGUCGAGGUGUAGCAAAUGAAAGGGGAAGAAAUGGGCUACAUUCCCUGUACCCAGGGAAAACGAAUGACAUACUGAAAUACAUGUCUGAAGGAGGAUUUAGUAGUAAGUAAGAAAUAGAGUGUUUCACUGAAACUGGCCCUGAAGCGCGCACACACCGCCCGUCACUCUCCCCAAGCUCAAUAAUUUAACUAACUAAAAAGCCUAUCAUGCGGAGGGGAGGCAAGUCGUAA